GCUCGUUUUUUUUGUUAAGACCCAGAUAGACAACACCACCUCAAGCAAAUAUGUCAUGUAUGGAUACUUGUGUUUUAUUCUUUUCUCUACCUUUUCUAAUACUAACUUAAAAUUGUUUCCAUACCUUAUUAUCUAAAAUUUAUUUAUACAAAGUGCGUGUGAUAUAUAGAUUAGGUGGGUAGAUAUAAACUACUUUGCUAUCAUGGACCGGGUUUACAAAACCUAUGGGUUUACGGGUUUGGAUACUACA
rnacentral:lncRNA from 1 species